GACGUAGGGCGCGAGCGUUGUCCGGAUUUAUUGGGCGUAAAGAGCUCGUAGGCGGCUUGUCGCGUCGACUGUGAAAACCCGUGGCUCAACCAUGUGGUCUGCAGUCGAUACGGGCAGGCUAGAUUUCGGUAGGGGAGACUGGAAUUCCUGGUGUAGCGGUGAAAUGCGCAGAUAUCAGGAGGAACACCGGUGGCGAAGGCGGGUCGCUGGGCCGAUAUUGACGCUGAGGAGCGAAAGCGUGGGGAGCAAACAGG
rnacentral:rRNA from 1 species